CCACGUAAAUGAGAAAAACCAAAUGAUAACUUCUGAAAGUGAAGGAACACUGGAAAAAUUUCAGUGAUCACAUUUUGUACUACUCUGGAUUCUUGUGGUUUGGGGUUUUUUUGCUCUGAUUCCAAUACUUGUCUAUUUUUUCCUACUCUAUUGCUUUAUACAAUAAUGGGUAUCAUUAAAGAGCUGCCACCAGAAUGAUUCCAUUUAGAAGCAAUUUCUAAAGUAUGUACCUUGCAAAGCACUUUAGAUCAUUGAUGAUGAAAGCUGUUAUAUAAAUGUAUGGUACACUAUUACAGAAAUUCGUUGCUGAGUUCAAAUGAUAUGCCUUUUAAUUUUUACAAUGAUUGUCUUGGUAUAUUUAAAUUCCUGUGAAACUAAAACAAGUUAGAGUGAAUAAGAUCUCAAAACAUUAAGAAAGUUUUUAAAUAUUUCAUUAAAGCACAUUAAAAAUUCUCUUCCUAUCUAAGGGAAUACUUUAAAAAUUAUUAAUUAUUAAAGUGAAAGAGGACUGAGGUUUUUUCCUCCCUCUAUUCUUUUUUGGUAUUGGUUUAUUGCUCCUUAUUAGCAGACUAAAAUGUAUGUUGCUAGAUGUAAGAUAAGGGAUACAUUACAAACGUGAGAAGGGAAAAAGUUGUCAGAAACAGACACACUAAUGUGCUAUUUCUUCCACAAUUUUUGAUAUUAAUAAGGAUGUACCUACUGUACUGUCCCCAAUGAACACAAAAUAAUAAUUUAAAAAAUAUUAUAAAAAUAAUCUACAAAAUACAAGUAACUGCCUAUGCAUACAUUAUGGCUAAACUCUUCAGUAAUAUUGCACCUACAUGGAAAUCUGAGAAUACAAUAUACCCUUUCUGUUUCUCAGUAGAAUUCUGUUUUUUGAUAGCUUGUCUUCUUUUGAAAAAUAUUAUUUCCUUUAGUUUCCAACAGAUUUGUGUGGUUAAUGAAUAGAGACUCUGCUAAAUAGAUACUCUCAUAAAUACCAAGUGCAACCUGUAAUUUGCAGAACCAGUAAUCCGUAUCUCAAAUCUUUAAUGCCAUGCAUGUAUAGACUAAAAUGUAUGUCUACUGCUACUAUUAGUGUAAUAAAGUAUCUAUAACUAUACCUACAAAACAGUUAAUAUGAAUCUAUACUUCUAUUUUGUACAUUUUUCUUUAAACCCCUGAGUAGAUUGAUUCGGGUUCUUGAAAUGACUUAGACUAAAAACAAAAACAAUGUAUUGUUAAUUGUUAUUACAUUCCAUUUAACCACAUCCUCCAGAUCUUUCCUCCAUGAAACUAGAUGUGAAGAAAGCUGGAUGGGUGGAUAAAUCAACAACAAGGUCCAAAGGCCUGGAUGACUGUAUGCAGAAUUAAGAAAUUAAUUAGGAAGGGAACUAUAAUUUGCAGCACUGACAUCUAUCUUACUUAACUUGCAUGUAUCAAUGGAAACCAAUUACAAUUCAAUUAAAAUAUUCACUUUUAUUACUUUACUGACUGACCUUGAAGUUAAUGCCUGUUUUAUUUAAUUGCAUCAUCUAUGAAUAAAUGUUAACCGUAGAAUGUUAUGCUCCAUUAUGUUCAAUGCAUUUUUUAACUCCCCAACUGAACUACAUCAGUCAAUUUAUUAUGUGCUGUCAAGAGAGCAAACGGAGCUUUGCUUCUUUAAGACAGACCGGUACAUGAUGACAGAAACAUCUCAAAAGAUUUGAUAAUACUUAACAGUGAUCAGUAAAAUAAAUUGUGCUCUCAACUCCAUUUUUGUGGCCUAGUUUUACUGUACAAUCAUAAGUGAUAGCACAAAUGGCAUAAUCACUUCCAAACAAUUUUUACUCCAUCCAAAAUUCCUGAUAAACCCACUGACAGGAGCAGAUACUCUUUCCUGCAGUUACGCUCUGGGUUGCAGAGCCCUCGUAUGCACAACCAGAAGACAUGUGCUGUAGAGAACUCUAGCAAUAUCAAAAGAGAUUCAGGACUUUGUCAGGGCUUUGUUCUGUAGUGAAAAAGAUGCACCAAAGAACGUAACUAAAAGGCAUUUCACUAGUGUUGAGUUACGCAAACGAAAAUUAUAUUUAAUGGUUCACUUCAUACACAUGUAUUAGUGUAGCCCUCACCUGAGCGGUAACUACCUGAUAUUACUUGCAUUUAUCAAGAACAUUAGAAAAUCAAGUUCCAUUUUCAUGGAAAGGCAUUCAGCUAAUAAAAUCCACAUUCUAAAGCUUCAUCUUACUAACAAAAACAUGCCUUAUACAUGUUUAAAAUUUUAAAAUAGUCUUGAUUUUUAAGAAAGUAUUUUAUUAUAAAAAUUUCUGGGUUUACGCCUUAGUAAAAUACUGAAUAAAUGAAAAUAAACCAUAGCUACUGGCUUUAAGAAAGGGUGGUACAUAAAGUACUUCUGAAAGCCACACUUAAAAGUUUCCUUCCUUCCUUCUCCUGACUUGAGAAGUAUUGUUGAGAAGAUUAGUAUCCUUAUACCAUCAUUAUGACAGUCAGGGACUGAGGCUUAACUUCUGAUGAUGGAAGACAGUAUAAAGCACAAUAAGGUUUCUGGGAAGAUCCCAAUUAGCUGCUUACCAAAAGAAGAACUAUUUAGAUCUUUAAAUAAGAAAAAAGGCAAUGAAAGAUUAAAGUUUUCUGGUACCAAAUCUAGUCUGUUUCUCUUUCCAAUUUCUUUUUUCAGGAAGAAAACGGCAUAAGGAGGUGAUGGGACUUCUAAGGUAUAGAAAUUCAGAAAUUUUGAGGGAAUGCACAAGAGUAUAAAGGAGAGAUGCAACCACCCAUCUCAGAAUGGGAACAGAGAAAGCAGGACUAUUUCUGAAGUUGCAUCUAGGAUUCAAAGCAACUUAGCUCUGCCCUUUCAGGAGCAGAAACCUCACUCAGGUUUGCUGCUAGAUCACAGACUCAUCAUGAAAGCCUCUGAAAUCUACUAAAGGAAAGCAAGCAGAUUUACUUAUAGAUCAACAGAAGGCAUGUGAAGAAGGCUUGCUAACAAUACUUCUUCUGUGGGUAAAGUGAGAGCAAUCGGUAUCUCAUCUGGAAAAGCACACUUCUCUGAGACAGAAAACUCUUGCCACUGGCAAAGUUUACGGUAUUAAUUUGUAAUGGUGAAUUUAGGGGAAAUGUACUAAACUAAUGCUCAUUUACUUUCAUAAUUAUGUGUUUUCUACAUAAAAUUACAGGCUUUUACCUUGUCAAUACUGGCACUGAGUUAAUGGAAAACAGUACAAGGUUGAGUGUAGAAGUAUGCCAGUGCUGAUGAAUGUCAGGCUUAGGUUACAGAUUUGCUUGUUGCAUUAACAUCUGUACAAUGUACUAUCUAAUGCAUUACUCUUCAGACUCUUAAAUCUGCUAUUUUAAAUAUUUCCUUGCAGUUUAGCUUUGAUUAUUAACCUAAGAGGCAAAAAGUUAAACUGUAUCUUAUCUUCUUUGCCACUUGAUAUGUUAAACAGCCUUCAUACCUUAAAUCCACUUUAAUAAGGCAUGCAAUUAUUAAAGCAUUACAGAAUGGCCCCAGAGCACAAAAGCUCCAUUAAAUUUGCUUACAUCUAAUUACGUCUGCCUGAGGCAGGUGAGAAAUUGACUCUGAUAAGAUCUUUCUUUUACCUAUAGCCAAAAAAAUAAAAAGAAAAAAAAAACAACCUUGGAGUGAUUUUCUAUCUAAUUGCUAUCUACAAGUAUUUAUGGUAUUCGCUCCUUCAAUGAAUAGCCCACAAAGCACUCUUUGUGCACUAACUAUUGCAUUUUAAGUUUUUUUAAGACUGUAAAAUACAAAAGACAAGCUUAUCUUGCUUCAGGCAUAAGAUAGGUCACCAAUGAUGUCUACUUGUGAAAUAGUUUUAUCUAUUAUUUAAAUCAUACAUUUUCUUUAAAAAAUAAUUCUGAUGUGAAAAAGCAUGUUAUAUGUUCUUUGUGGCCUUAUUUUUUCUUCAUGUCAGCAUAAGCAAUGAAAGCAUUUUAUCUUAUGGAAAAAUAACAAAAAUAUUAAAAUGUACUUUACUCAGCCUGAAAACUAUAUUU